UCCAUCAUUAUACUUUGUAUAUAGCUUUAAGAAAAUAAUUCGCUUAUUUUUUUCUAUUUUCCUUUUUUUGUUUGUGCAUCAAUAACUAUAUCCAGACUUUGAUCUCCUAACUUGGCUUAAUGAUGGGGGUGGAGAGUGAGGAUUGUAUCUGGACCUAAUUUUAUUGGCUGCAAAAUUGAGAAAGUUUUAUAACCUUAAAGCUUAUCUCCAUGCGACUGGGCA
rnacentral:lncRNA from 1 species